ensembl:lncRNA
CAGGAGUGAUAUACUGAUUAAACAGCAGACUUUAUUAAAGGAAAAUGAAAGAUCUGAAAUAAAGUAAUAGGUGAGGAAACAAAACUGAAAGUCUUUGGGAAAGAAGUUUUAACAGCGAGAGGUGAGGACUGACAGAGGAGAAAGAGAAAACAAGAAAAUUCUUCCCAGACUAAUUUGAGCAUAAGUUGAUCAUGACAUCAGUUCAGUGCAGUUCAGUUUCUCAGUCGUGUCCGACUCUUUGCGAUCCCAUGGACCGCAGCACACCAAGCCUCCCUGUCCAUCACCAACUCCCGGAGUUUACUCAAACUCAUGUCCAUUGAGUCAGUGAUGCCACCCAACCAUCUCAUCCUCUGGUGUCCCCUUCUCCUGCCUUCAAUAUUUCCCAGCAUCAGGGUCUUUUCCAAUGAGUCAGUUCUUCACAUCAGGUGGCCAGAGUAUUGGAGUUUCAGCUUCAGCAUCAGCCCUUCCAAGGAAUAGUAAGGACUGAUCUCCUCUAGAAUGGACUGGUUGGAUCUCCUUGCAGUCCAAGGGACUCUCAAGAGUCUUCUCCAACACCACAGUUCAAAAGCAUUAAUGCUUUGCUGUUGCUGUCUUGAAAUUUUUAAUCACAUUUUAACAAGGAGCUACACAUUUCCAUUUGCCUGAGGUCCCGGAGGUGGGUACCAGGAGGAGUGAAGCAUCUGGGAUUUCACCUCAACCAGUGUUUGCUGGGGGGUUUCCUGGGUGGCUCAGUGAUAAAGAAUCCACCUGCCAAAGCAGGAGCUGCAGGAGCUGCAGAUGCAAUCCUUGAGUCAAGAAGAUCCCCUAGAGGAGGAAAUGACAAGCCACUCCAGCAUUCUUGCCUGGAGAAUCCCAUGGACAGAGGAGCCUGGAGGACUACAGUCCAUGGGGUUGCAAAGUUGGACACGACUGAGAGACUGAGCACAGGACACACAGCUCUUGUGUGCCAGGCAGUGCUGUGGAAGAGCCUGCUAUUUGUCUAGCUCACCAGAGUUGAGCCCAGUGUGUGGUAAGAGCAGUCAUUCAAUAUCUUCAUGGACUUUACACCCCUUCACAUAAAGUCAGUCUUUCACUGGUACUGGACUAUUGAGAACCUGAAAGGUUGAUCUCGUCUCAAUCAAGAACACGACAUGCCUGUACUUUGCUGUUUUUCCCAGUAGUCAUGUAUGUGAGAGUUGGAAUGUAAAGAAAGCUGAGUGCUGAAGAAUUGAUGCUUUUGAACUGUGGUGUUGGAGAAGACUCUUGAGUCCCUUGGACUGCAAGGAGAUCAAAUCAGUCCAUCCUAAAGGAAAUCAGCCCUGAAUAUUCACUGGAGGGACUGAUGCUGAAGCUGAAUACUUUGGCCAUGUGAUGCGAUGAACUGACUCAUUUGAAAAUACCGUGAUGCUAGAAAAAAUUAAAGACAGGAGAAGGGGACGACAGAGGAUGAGAUGGUUGGAGGGCAUCACUGACUCAAUGGAUAUGAGUUUGAGUAAGCUCCAGGAGUUGGUGAUGGACAUGGAGGCCUGGUGUGCUGCAGUCCAUGGGGUCACAAAGAGUCAGACAGGACUGAGCGACUGAACUGAACUGACCUGAACUGAACUUUAAUCUCAUUAGUAAAUUACAUCUUGUCCUGGCUGCCAUCCAUUCCCAUUGAAAAGACAGCUAAAAAAUUAUAUUUGAAAGACAGUGCCUAAGGCAAUGUUUUCUAACUUGAAUUAUUCUAUAAACUUGCCAACUUUCCAAAUUUUUACAUGGACACAAUGAUUUAGGCAAAAGGGGGAACAGGAGAGAAGCAAUCAAGUUACUGAGGAUGGGGCUGAGGGGAAGCAACCAUUUUGUAGCAAGAGUGUUCUUGCCAGAGUUGGAUUUGAGUUUGGGAAUUAGGUUCAAGACAGCUAUUCUUAACUAUAGACAGACAGACUGGGUUCUACGUAGGCUGUGAGAUGUAUCAUUGGUCAUUUACUGCUAGUAAGAAAUAACUGGAAUAUAUGAAUAUAACUUUGAUAUAAACUAAAGACUGGAGGUCAAUAUUGUAGCUCUCACUCACACGUUUUUAAAUUCUUUCUUAUAUGGUAGAGAAAGGACAGGUGAUUUAGCAACACAUCUACACAUGCAUUUCUCCGGCAAUGGAAAUGCAUCACCCUUGUUAAAAAACAUCCUUUCUGUGGUUGUGGCAAAAAGUGGUAAAGGAUUUCUGGCAUAGAAAAUAUAUUUACUGUGUUAUUCUCUCAGGCUAUAUCUAUACUUUUAUCGAGUUAAGACACCAGAGGGAAACAAUAUAAAUGACAUUAAUUUCCCUUGGUGAAAAUAUUUCUACAAUGUAUAUGAAGCCUUUUGCUUUCAUAAGGGGUAAUAACAAUGUUGUUGUCUUAUAAAAUACAUUAAUUUUAGAUUGGGUAUUUUUAUGAUUCCACUUUAGCUCUUUUGUUGGUUUAAUAUAUAGCUGUGACUAUUUUGCUACUUGAGUGGUUGUUUUAGGGUUUACAGCAUACAUCUUUACCAUAUCACUCCAUCUUCUUAUGAUGCUUCACUUACAGUAUAAGAAUCUUGCAACAGUGUGCUUCUAUUUCUUCCUUCCUGGUCUUUGUGUUAUUGUUGCCACAGAUUUUAGUUCUCCAUGUACUAUAAGCCUCAUCCUACACUUUUUAUUUUUAUUCAGCCAACCUUUUUUUCUUAAAAAAAAAAAAAAAGAGGUUUGAAACGAAGAAAAUAAUCUUGUGCGUUAACCCAGUAUAGCCACCGUUUCCC